rnacentral:rRNA from 1 species
UACGUAGGGUGCGAGCGUUGUCCGGAAUUAUUGGGCGUAAAGAGCUCGUAGGCGGUCUGUCGCGUCGAUCGUGAAAACUUGGGGCUUAACCCUGAGCUUGCGGUCGAUACGGGCAUGACUGGAGUUCGGCAGGGGAGACUGGAAUUCCUGGUGUAGCGGUGAAAUGCGCAGAUAUCAGGAGGAACACCGGUGGCGAAGGCGGGUCUCUGGGCCGAUACUGACGCUGAGGAGCGGAAAGCGUGGGGAGCGAACAGG